UACGUAGGGGGCAAGCGUUAUCCGGAUUUACUGGGUGUAAAGGGAGCGUAGACGGCAGUGCAAGCCUGGAGUGAAAGGAUGGGGCCCAACCCCCGGACUGCUCUGGAAACUGUGUAACUGGAGUGCAGGAGAGGCAGGCGGAAUUCCUAGUGUAGCGGUGAAAUGCAUAGAUAUCACGCAGAACUCCGAUUGCGAAGGCAGCAUACCGGCGCCCGACUGACGCUGAAGCACGAAAGCGUGGGGAGCAAACAGG
rnacentral:rRNA from 1 species